UAAAGAUUCAUCGCUGAUAGAUAGGCAUGCGUUCCAUUAGGCAGUUGGCGGGGUAACGGCCCACCAAACCGACGAUGGAUAGGGGUUCUGAGAGGAAGGUCCCCCACAUUGGUACUGAGACACGGACCAAACUCCUACGGGAGGCAGCAGUGAGGAAUAUUGGUCAAUGGGCGUAAGCCUGAACCAGCCAAGUCGCGUGAGGGAUGAAGGUUCUAUGGAUCGUAAACCUCUUUUAUAAGGGAAUAAAGUGUGGGACGUGUCCUAUUUUGUAUGUACCUUAUGAAUAAGGAUCGGCUAACUCCGUGCCAGCAGCCGCGGUAAUACGGAGGAUCCGAGCGUUAUCCGGAUUUAUUGGGUUUAAAGGGUGCGUAGGCGGCCUUUUAAGUCAGCGGUGAAAGUCUGUGGCUCAACCAUAGAAUUGCCGUUGAAACUGGGGGGCUUGAGUAUGUUUGAGGCAGGCGGAAUGCGUGGUGUAGCGGUGAAAUGCUUAGAUAUCACGCAGAACCCCGAUUGCGAAGGCAGCCUGCCAAGCCAUGACUGACGCUGAUGCACGAAAGCGUGGGGAUCAAACAGGAUUAGAUACCCUGGUAGUCCACGCAGUAAACGAUGAUCACUAGC
rnacentral:rRNA from 1 species